GCGGCAUGCUUUACACAUGCAAGUCGAACGGUAACAGGGAGCUUGCUCCGCUGACGAGUGGCGAACGGGUGAGUAAUGCGUAGGAAGCUACCCGAUAGAGGGGGAUACCAGUUGGAAACGACUGUUAAUACCGCAUAAUGUCUACGGACCAAAGUGUGGGACCUUCGGGCCACAUGCUAUCGGAUGCGCCUACGUGGGAUUAGCUAGUUGGUGGGGUAAUGGCUCACCAAGGCGACGAUCCCUAGCUGGUUUGAGAGGAUGAUCAGCCACACUGGAACUGAGACACGGUCCAGACUCCUACGGGAGGCAGCAGUGGGGAAUAUUGGACAAUGGGCGCAAGCCUGAUCCAGCCAUGCCGCGUGUGUGAAGAAGGCCUUCGGGUUGUAAAGCACUUUAAGUUGGGAGGAAGGGCAGUAAGUUAAUACCUUGCUGUUUUGACGUUACCGGCAGAAUAAGCACCGGCUAACUUCGUGCCAGCCGCCGCAGUAACAC
rnacentral:rRNA from 1 species